rnacentral:rRNA from 1 species
GACGAACCGUACGAACGUUGUUCGGAGUUACUGGGCGUAAAGGGUGUGUAGGCGGUUGUUUAAGUUUGGUGUGAAAUCUCCCGGCUCAACUGGGAGGGUGCGCCGAAUACUGAAUGACUAGAGUGCGGGAGAGGAAAGUGGAAUUCCUGGUGUAGCGGUGAAAUGCGUAGAUAUCAGGAGGAACACCGGUGGUGUAGACGGCUUUCUGGACCGUAACUGACGCUGAGACGCGAAAGCGUGGGGAGCGAACAGG